rnacentral:tmRNA from 1 species
GGGGGUGUACUUCUGGUUUCGACAGGGAGUUUGCAGUGGGAGCAGCAAGUAGUGGUGGGAUAGCACUUAAAUCAUCUCAAAAAAAUAAACGCUAAUCGUAACGAAUUAGUAGCUGCUUAAUUAAAGCAGCCGUCUUGCCCGGUUUUCUAUCGGUCGGGGUCAAGGCGUCACGCAGAUAGAGCCCGUGAACGAGCUUAAGCUUUGCGGCUUGUCACGCAUUUAUGAAGCUACCGAUUAUCCGGCCUGUUUGUCGGCUUGGGUAUGAGGGAAUGUUGUAGAUAAACUAAACUUGUAGAUACUGCCAUGAAUUACUUUUUGGACACGGGUUCGACCCCCGUCACCUCCACCA